rnacentral:rRNA from 1 species
CCUACGGGUGGCAGCAGUGAGGAAUAUUGGUCAAUGGACGAGAGUCUGAACCAGCCAAGUAGCGUGAAGGAUGACUGCCCUAUGGGUUGUAAACUUCUUUUAUAAAGGAAUAAAACGAGGCACGUGUGCCUUUUUGCAUGUACUUUAUGAAUAAGGAUCGGCUAACUCCGUGCCAGCAGCCGCGGUAAUACGGAGGAUCCGAGCGUUGUCCGGAAUGAUUGGGGGUAAAGGGUGGGUAGGUGGUUUGGUAAGUUAGAUGUGUAAUACCCAGGGCUUAACUCGGGUACUGCAUCUAACACUGGUAGACUUGAGUACUGGAGAGGAUAGUGGAAUUCGUGGUGUAGCGGUGGAAUGCGUAGAUAUUAGGAAGAACAUCAGUGGCGAAGGCAGCUAUCUGGACAGCAACUGACACUGAGGCACGAAAGCGUGGGGAGCAAACAGGAUUAGAUACCCCAGUAGUC